GACGAACGCUGGCGGCGUGCUUAACACAUGCAAGUCGAACGGAAAGGCCCUGCUUUUGUGGGGUGCUCGAGUGGCGAACGGGUGAGUAACACGUGAGUAACCUUCCCUUGACUUUGGGAUAACUUCAGGAAACUGGGGCUAAUACCGGAUAGGAGCUCCUGCUGCAUGGUGGGGGUUGGAAAGUUUCGGCGGUUGGGGAUGGACUCGCGGCUUAUCAGCUUGUUGGUGGGGUAGUGGCUUACCAAGGCUUUGACGGGUAGCCGGCCUGAGAGGGUGACCGGCCACAUUGGGACUGAGAUACGGCCCAGACUCCUACGGGAGACAGCAGUGGGGAAUAUUGCACAAUGGGCGGAAGCCUGAUGCAGCAACGCCGCGUGCGUGAUGACGGCCUUCGGGGUGUAAACCGCUUUCGCCUGUGACGAAGCGUGAGUGACGGUAAUGGGUAAAGAAGCACCGGCUAACUACGUG
rnacentral:rRNA from 1 species